GACGAACGCUGGCGGCGUGCCUAAUACAUGCAAGUAGAACGCUGAAGGAGGAGUUUGCUUCUCUGGAUGAGUUGCGAACGGGUGAGUAACGCGUAGGUAACCUGCCUGGUAGCGGGGGAUAACUAUUGGAAACGACAGCUAAUACCGCAUAAGAGUAGAUGUCGCAUGACAUUUGCUUAAAAGGUGCAUUUGCAUCACUACCAGAUGGACCUGCGUUGUAUUUGCUAGUUGGUGCGGUAACGGCUCACCAAGGCAACGAUACUUAGCCGACCUGAGAGGGUGAUCGGGCACACUGGGACUGGGAAACGGCUCCGACUCCUGAGGGAAGGAGCAGUAGGGGAACUUCGGCAAUGGACGGAAGGCUGACCGAGGAACGCCGCGUGAGUGGAGAAGGGUUUCGGGUCGUAAAGGUCUGUUGUAAGGGGAGAAAGAGUAUGAGGGUGGAACGUUCCCGCUGUGACGGUAUCUUACCAGAAAGGAACGGCUAACUACGUG
rnacentral:rRNA from 1 species